GGGUAGGCUGGGACACACCAGCUCACUGAUGGACCUGAAAAUGGAUUGCUGUGGGACUACAACCCUACUCAGGAUAUUCUGAGUUAUAAGUGGUAUACUUGGUUGUUUUGUCUUACGUACAGGGAGGAGUCACCUGAGAAAACCUGCAACCUGGAUAUAUCACCAUGAUGUGCGAGAUGCCACAUCAUGAGUCACAGCUGAGAUGUAAUUCAUUUCCACAUACACACGUCUUCAACUUUUACAAUAAAGUUUAUUGAAAAAUGUA